rnacentral:lncRNA from 1 species
AUCAAUUACUUGUAACAAGGAUUCACCUCCCUUUAGAACUGAAUAAAAAGAACUAGCCUGACAUGCUCUUGAGUCUACACUCCAAUAGAUGAUAGUUGAUAGUUGAAUGAAUAAAACAUUAACUCUCAUCCUCUAUUUAUAGUGCUAGACAAAGUCCUAAAUCCUAUAGGAUGUAGAAAUCCAAAUCCUAAAAGGAAUUACAAAUCAUAACUAGUUUCCAUAAAGAAAUAGAAUUUAAUUUGGAAAUAAAUCGUAGUCUAAAGAAAAUCCUAAAGCUAAUAGAAAUAUCAAUCCAAUUCCAUGUAGAAGUCUACCAAAAUCUGCAUUUAGAAACUUUCCAAAAAUCCAAGAUUUCCUGAUUUUCCCGCUCAAAUUCGCUGGGGCGAAUUUUCAUUUCCUGCUGCGAUGUCCUUUGGUAAAACGAGCAUAACUUUUGAUCCAGGAGGAUUUAUAGGAGCUGCUACCUAUUAAAACGAAGAUAUCGACGAGAUCUACAACUUUCAUUCUUUAAGAAUCGACAGAAUCGCUCUGUAUCAAGGUCGAAAUCGGGCUCCAAGUGACUGCUGUGUAAAUUGCAACUUCCAAACUUUGAGGUUCAACGUCCGUUUAGUAAAAAUAUCAUAACUUUUUCAUAUGAACUCCGAUUGGGACGAUUCAAGAUGUUCCGGAAAGCUAAAGAAGAGCUCUACAAUAAAAUUCAAGUCCCAAGCUAAGAACAUGCAUCCAACUUAAUGCUAAAAAUUCUGCAAUUUUCUCUUUUUCCU